rnacentral:rRNA from 1 species
GAUGAACGCUGGCGGCGUGCCUAAUACAUGCAAGUCGAGCGAACAGACGAGGAGCUUGCUCCUCUGACGUUAGCGGCGGACGGGUGAGUAACACGUGGAUAACCUACCUAUAAGACUGGGAUAACUUCGGGAAACCGGAGCUAAUACCGGAUAAUAUAUUGAACCGCAUGGUUCAAUAGUGAAAGACGGUUUUGCUGUCACUUAUAGAUGGAUCCGCGCCGCAUUAGCUAGUUGGUAAGGUAACGGCUUACCAAGGCAACGAUGCGUAGCCGACCUGAGAGGGUGAUCGGCCACACUGGAACUGAGACACGGUCCAGACUCCUACGGGAGGCAGCAGUAGGGAAUCUUCCGCAAUGGGCGAAAGCUUGACGGAGCAACGCCGCGUGAGUGAUGAAGGUCUUCGGAUCGUAAAACUCUUUUAUUAAGGAAGAACAAAUGUGUAAGUAACUAUGCACGUCUUGACGGUACCUAAUCAGAAAGCCACGGCUAACUACGUG